rnacentral:rRNA from 1 species
UGAGGUUAAGUGACUAAGCGUACACGGUGGAUGCCUAGGCAGUCAGAGGCGAUGAAGGGCGUGCUAAUCUGCGAAAAGCGUCGGUAAGGUGAUAUGAACCGUUAUAACCGGCGAUACCCGAAUGGGGAAACCCAGUGUGUUUCGACACACUAUCAUGUCAUGAAUACAUAGUGGCAUGAGGCGAACCGGGGGAACUGAAACAUCUAAGUACCCCGAGGAAAAGAAAUCAACCGAGAUUCCCCCAGUAGCGGCGAGCGAACGGGGAGGAGCCCAGAACCUGAAUCGGCUUGUGUGUUAGUGGAAGCGUCUGGAAAGUCGCGCAGUAAAGGGUGAUAGCCCCGUACACUAAAAUGCACAGGUCGUGAGUUCGAUGAGUAGGGCGGGACACGUGACAUCCUGUCUGAAUAUGGGGGGACCAUCCUCCAAGGCUAAAUACUCCUGACUGACCGAUAGUGAACCAGUACCGUGAGGGAAAGGCGAAAAGAACCCCGGCGAGGGGAGUGAAAUAGAACCUGAAACCGUGUACGUACAAGCAGUGGGAGCACCUUCGUGGUGUGACUGCGUACCUUUUGUAUAAUGGGUCAGCGACUUAUAUUUUGUAGCAAGGUUAACCGUAUAGGGGAGCCGUAGGGAAACCGAGUCUUAACUGGGCGAAUAGUUGCAAGGUAUAGACCCGAAACCCGGUGAUCUAGCCAUGGGCAGGUUGAAGGUUGGGUAACACUAACUGGAGGACCGAACCGACUAAUGUUGAAAAAUUAGCGGAUGACUUGUGGCUGGGGGUGAAAGGCCAAUCAAACCGGGAGAUAGCUGGUUCUCCCCGAAAGCUAUUUAGGUAGCGCCUCGUGAACUCAUCUUCGGGGGUAGAGCACUGUUUCGGCUAGGGGGCCAUCCCGGCUUACCAAACCGAUGCAAACUCCGAAUACCGAAGAAUGUUAUCACGGGAGACACACGGCGGGUGCUAACGUCCGUCGUGAAGAGGGAAACAACCCAGACCGCCAGCUAAGGUCCCAAAGUCAUGGUUAAGUGGGAAACGAUGUGGGAAGGCAUAGACAGCCAGGAUGUUGGCUUAGAAGCAGCCAUCAUUUAAAGAAAGCGUAAUAGCUCACUGGUCGAGUCGGCCUGCGCGGAAGAUGUAACGGGGCUAAACCAUGCACCGAAGCUGCGGCAGCGACGCUUAGGCGUUGUUGGGUAGGGGAGCGUUCUGUAAGCCGUUGAAGGUGGCCUGUGAGGGUUGCUGGAGGUAUCAGAAGUGCGAAUGCUGACAUAAGUAACGAUAAAGCGGGUGAAAAGCCCGCUCGCCGGAAGACCAAGGGUUCCUGUCCAACGUUAAUCGGGGCAGGGUGAGUCGACCCCUAAGGCGAGGCUGAAAAGCGUAGUCGAUGGGAAACAGGUUAAUAUUCCUGUACUUGGUGUUACUGCGAAGGGGGGACGGAGAAGGCUAGGCUAGCCGGGCGACGGUUGUCCCGGUUUAAGCGUGUAGGGGGUGUGACCUGGUAAAUCCGGUUGCAUGCUAACCCUGAGGCGUGAUGACGAUGCACUACGGUGCAGAAGUAGUUGAUGCCCUGCUUCCAGGAAAAUCCUCUAAGCUCCAGGUAACAUUAAAUCGUACCCCAAACCGACACAGGUGGUCAGGUAGAGAAUACCAAGGCGCUUGAGAGAACUCGGGUGAAGGAACUAGGCAAAAUGGUGCCGUAACUUCGGGAGAAGGCACGCUGGCAUGUAGGUGAAGUCCCUUGCGGAUGGAGCUGAAGCCAGUCGAAGAUACCAGCUGGCUGCAACUGUUUAAUAAAAACACAGCACUGUGCAAACACGAAAGUGGACGUAUACGGUGUGACGCCUGCCCGGUGCUGGAAGGUUAAUUGAUGGGGUCAGCCGCAAGGCGAAGCUCUUGAUCGAAGCCCCAGUAAACGGCGGCCGUAACUAUAACGGUCCUAAGGUAGCGAAAUUCCUUGUCGGGUAAGUUCCGACCUGCACGAAUGGCGUAAUGAUGGCCAGGCUGUCUCCACCCGAGACUCAGUGAAAUUGAACUCGCUGUGAAGAUGCAGUGUACCCGCGGCAAGACGGAAAGACCCCGUGAACCUUUACUAUAGCUUGACACUGAACAUUGAGCCUUGAUGUGUAGGAUAGGUGGGAGGCUUUGAAGCGUGGACGCCAGUCUGCGUGGAGCCAUCCUUGAAAUACCACCCUUUAAUGUUUGAUGUUCUAACUCGGCCCCAUAAUCUGGGGUGAGGACAGUGUCUGGUGGGUAGUUUGACUGGGGCGGUCUCCUCCCAAAGAGUAACGGAGGAGCACGAAGGUUAGCUAAUCACGGUCGGACAUCGUGAGGUUAGUGCAAAGGCAUAAGCUAGCUUGACUGCGAGAGUGACGGCUCGAGCAGGUACGAAAGUAGGUCUUAGUGAUCCGGUGGUUCUGAAUGGAAGGGCCAUCGCUCAACGGAUAAAAGGUACUCCGGGGAUAACAGGCUGAUACCGCCCAAGAGUUCAUAUCGACGGCGGUGUUUGGCACCUCGAUGUCGGCUCAUCACAUCCUGGGGCUGAAGUAGGUCCCAAGGGUAUGGCUGUUCGCCAUUUAAAGUGGUACGCGAGCUGGGUUUAGAACGUCGUGAGACAGUUCGGUCCCUAUCUGCCGUGGGCGUUGGAAGAUUGAGAGGGGUUGCUCCUAGUACGAGAGGACCGGAGUGAACGCACCACUGGUGUUCGGGUUGUCAUGCCAAUGGCAUUGCCCGGUAGCUAAGUGCGGAAAAGAUAAGCGCUGAAAGCAUCUAAGCGCGAAACUUGCCUCAAGAUGAGUCUUCCCUGGGCCUUUAAGGUCCCUGAAGGAACGUUUAAGACUAAGACGUUGAUAGGCUGGGUGUGUAAGUGCAGCGAUGCAUUGAGCUAACCAGUACUAAUGAUCCGUGAGGCUUAACCUU